UACGGGAGGCAGCAGUAGGGAAUACUGCACAAUGGAGGAAACUCUGAUGCAGCGACGCCGCGUGAGUGAUGAAGGACUUCGGUUCGUAAAGCUCUGUUGCAAGGGAAAAAGCAAGUGAUUGUACCUUGCGAGAAAGGGUCGGCUAACUUCGUGCCAGCAGCCGCGGUAAUA
rnacentral:rRNA from 1 species